rnacentral:tRNA from 1 species
GGAUGCAUAGCUCAGUUGGAUAGAGCGUCGGCCUCCGGAGCCGAAGGUCGUGGGUUCGAAUCCCUCUGCAUCCG